rnacentral:rRNA from 1 species
AGAGCGAACGCUGGCGGCGUGCUUAACACAUGCAAGUCGAGUGCGCGCCUGUAGCAAUACAGGUGGUGCACGGCGCACGGGUGCGUAACACGUGGGUAAUCUGCCCUUCGAUGGGGAAUAACUCCGGGAAACCGAAGCUAAUUCCGCAUAACAUUCCUUGAACUUCGGUUUGGGGACUCAAAGCCGUAAGGCGUCGGAGGAGGAACCCGCGCACGAUUAGCUAGUUGGUAGGGUAACGGCCUACCAAGGCUUUGAUCGUUAGC